CGCACAUUGCGCCUGCUGGUAUUCCGGUAGGCAUGCCUGUUUGAGCGUCAGCAAAACCUCUCAAUAAUUUAUUAUUGGUCAUGGGUUAGAACUAUACCAUUACGGUGUUCUGCCUUAAACUUGCUGCACGACCGCAUGCUUUUUGCAAGGUUAAUGGAGUUGGUGUUUACAUAUCUUCCAGCACUGAGCAAAACUUGCGGCGUUAAACGCGAUGUUGCUUUGCAACUGAAGUUUGACCUCAAAUCAGACAAGGAUACCCGCUGAACUUAA
rnacentral:misc_RNA from 1 species